rnacentral:rRNA from 1 species
ACGAACGCUGGCGGCGUGCUUAACACAUGCAAGUCGAGCGGUAAGGCCCUUUCGGGGGUACACGAGCGGCGAACGGGUGAGUAACACGUGGGUGACCUGCCCUCAGCUCUGGGAUAAGCCCGGGAAACUGGGUCUAAUACCGGAUAUGACUCCAUGACGCAUGUUGUGGGGUGGAAAGCCUUGUGCGGCUGAGGAUGGGCCCGCGGCCUAUCAGCUUGUUGGUGGGGUGAUGGCCUACCAAGGCGACGACGGUAGCCGGCCUGAGAGGGCGACCGGCCACACUGGGACUGAGAUACGGCCCAGACUCCUACGGGAGGCAGCAGUGGGGAAUCUUGCGCAAUGGGCGAAAGCCUGACGCAGCGACGCCGCGUGAGGGAUGACGG